CCGGAUGGGAUGGGGAUUCUGUUGAGAACAUGGAGUUUAUAGAUUUGGGUUUCUCUGAAAUGCCCAGAAAGCCAUUUAAUGGUAGUAACACGGGUAUGGGGAUACUUGGUGGCGGUGAAGCCGGUAUCGAUUCUAGUAAAAUAGAAUUUUCUUCUCCCAGUCAUAUAAUUGCUUCAAAUUCAUCGUUGGAAUCUGGGUCGAAUCAUUCAAAUUCUCU
rnacentral:misc_RNA from 1 species